GCGAAACUGCGAAUGGCUCAUUAAAUCAGUUAUCGUUUAUUUGAUAGUACCUUACUACAUGGAUACCUGUGGUAAUUCUAGAGCUAAUACAUGCUAAAAACCCCGACUUCGGGAGGGGUGUAUUUAUUAGAUAAAAAACCAAUGCCCUUCGGGGCUCCUUGGUGAUUCAUAAUAACUUCUCAGAUCGCACGGCCUUGAGCCGGCGACGGUUCAUUCAAAUUUCUGCCCUAUCAACUUUCGAUGGUAAGGUAUUGGCUUACCAUGGUUUCUACGGGUAACGGGGAAUUAGGGUUCGAUUCCGGAGAGUUAGCCUGAGAAACGGCUAACACAUCCAAGGAAGGCAGCAGGCGCGCAAAUUACCCAAUCCUGAUACAGGGAGGUAGUGACAAUAAAUACUGGUACAGGGCUCUUUUGGGUCUUGUAACUGGAAUGAGUACAAUUUAAACCUCUUAACGAGGAACAAUUGGAGGGCAAGUCUGGUGCCAGCAGCCGCGGUAAUUCCAGCUCCAAUAGCGUAUAUUAAAGUUGUUGCAGUUAAAAAGCUCGUAGUUGAACCUUUGGCCUGGCUGGCAGGUCCGCCUCACCGCGUGCACUUGUCCGGCCGGGCCUUCUCUUCUGGAGAACCGCAUGCCCUUCACUGGGUGUGUUGGGGACCAGGACUUUUACUUUGAAAAAAUUAGAGUGUUCAAAGCAGGCCUUUGCUCGAAUAUUACAGCAUGGAAUAAUGGAAUAGGACGUGCGGUUCUAUUUUGUUGGUUUCUAGGACCGCCGUAAUGAUUAAUA
rnacentral:rRNA from 1 species